GCUGCACCACGUACAAAAUAAGAAAAACCAAUUGUUCAUAUCCACAAAUACUAGCCUGGGGUAGAAGAUGGUCGUUUCCUCCCAUGGUCCUGGUUGGAACCCCAGGUCCAGCCCCUGUGACGGGCUGCGGGCGUUAACACACAUCCUUCACAUUUUUGGACAAGAACCCACCAACCUGAACAGACAUCUUGCAGGAACUGAACCUCAGCUCCAAUGAGGAGACGACAUCUCAACAAGGUUCCAACAGAAUUUGAUGACUCUCAGUUCUAUGGACUGAUGAUAAAUCAAGGAGUUAGGGGGGGGGGCUGAUGCAGCAGCCUGAACCAGCACGCGUGUCCCCAGCUCUGAAUUGGACUGUGGUGGUUCUAGAUUGUUUUUAACACUAUAAAUUUCACCUUUUUUAAAUUCUGUGCUCUCCUUCAGAAAGGGUUCAAUAACCACAGACCUUCUACAUGAGCACAAUGGAGAAGUCUGAGAAACCACAGACACACACACCGAUAGACAAAUCACUAUGACUUUAAAAAUAGAAGGGUGGGGCCUCUGGUCACACAGCUUCAGGAAUCACUUCAUGGGGGGGGGGGGGGGGGGGGGGGGUUGGAAUGCUUGGAGGAAAGAAUCAGGAAAACACACACAGUCUCUGAACUGACCUCAUCAGUCAGUGUCCCCGAAGCGCAGCAGGGAUAUGUGUGUGUGUGUGUGUGUGUGUGUGUGUGUGUGUGUGUGUGUGUGUGUGCACCAAUGGACCCUGCAGACUGAGGACUGAACAGCUUCUCCCAUUUGUCCUGGAGGAAUGUUGCAGCAAUGAAACACCAAAGGAAAGAAUGAAUGAAUGAAUGAAUGAAUGAAUGAAUGAAUGAAUGAACACCCCCCCCCCCCCCC